UUCACAGACUGGCAUCCUUCACCCCUUAAUUCACCGGGAGCUCCCAGGCUCUCCGUCUUCAUCCAAGCGACGGGCCACGUCCGUGGUGGGAGUCCUGGCCCGACGGUGUGUUGAAGUCUCAGGAGCAGGGCAGUGCCAUUCCCACCCCAGCAGCGUCGGAUCAGAACGCCCUGACUCCCAGCGACGCGCGGGCGUUUUGAUGUGGAGACAGAAGCGACAGACUUGCAAACGCGACCCGAAAAGAAGAGAAGAGCGACAGAAGUUAUUUUGCUCAUGAUCAGACGGAUCUGGCUGAUAUAUCCCCUCUGAGGUCACAAUGCUGCAGUCGGUUCCGGCUGAGGAAAGUGGGCGCCCUUUCUGCGGGGUUCCUCUGUCGACCAGACGAGGUGAAGGACACUCCACACCACCCAGAAAGCUGCUUUUCCCUUCACUGUGAUGACACCAACUGGUAUCACAUCAAUCCCAAUAGGUUUUGAUGCAUGACUUGAAAAUUAGCCCAAGAAAGGUCGCUGCCAUUAGCGCAAAGGAUAAUCCCUGUGACCCCAACAAAGGGCUUCUCAAUGCCUGAGGACUGGAUGGACCUAGUGGGUGGGCAGUGGUUCAGCUGUCUGUCAGAGCGAGAAGGAAGGAGUGUGCUACAGCAUCCACGUGUCUCCUAAUUUUGUUUUGUCUGCACCCAAACCGUGACGUGCGAUAGCCUGUAAUGGCAUGCUGUCCAAUUUACCUGCCAGAAUGUUAAUGACAGACUGCCAAAGUGCCGGUAAGUAACCAUGUGAGCCACUAACAAUCCUGUCCUCUGCUACUCGACGUUUCACGUGGAUAUCACAGUGCUGUCCGUCGCCUUCCUUCCCAUGCCCCUACCUAUGCCGUGCUUUUAAACACAGCUGUCGCAUCUCUCUGAUCCAUCGGGAUUUGCAUGCGGUUUCUAUAGAUGUACCCAAGUGUGUUGACAUGACCAUCCUUGUGUGUCUUCGCGGAAAAAAUAAAACAAAUACAAGCCUGCGGGGAUGUCA